UCAAAAUUAAUAUCUCAUUACAUAAUCAUUGUUGUUUCAUAAAGUGAAGAAUUGUGGAAAAAAACACCUAUAAAUUGUGGUAUUUUCUAGUCCCAGUGUUGUCUAACAAAACACUACCUGUACAUCACCACUGCUCAUUUUGCAGUAAAAGCAGGUUUUGUGGACUGUUAUAGUGUGUUCAGUUUAUAAAACUAAAGCUAAAACACCCAUUUUCUUUCAUUUUCUAUUACUAUAUGAUUUGUAUAAAUGGUUAUGUUGUUAUGUGUAUGUGCCUUGACAUUUUAUCAUUUGACUUUGCACUUGAUGAGUUUAUCUACAUGUCCUUUAUUUUCCCUGCAUGGCUGUGCAAAGUACAUGUACUUGUGUACUGAAUUGCUGAUUUCAAAGUAAAAACGCAGAAUAUAUAAGAUCAAAAAGUUAAAGUCAACAAAAAUUAGGUGAAGGUCAUUAAUGAAAGUCAAAUAUGCCACCACAAUUACAGAUGAGAUGUAAUUUAUUUGGUUUGUUUAGUGUUUUAUUUUCUGUUAAUGAUGUGUAAACCACACAUUUUAUUUGGCAUUUGAUAUUGAUGCUCUGCUUAUGAAUAUUGAUUUACCUCAUGAAUUCUAAAAAAAAGAUAUUUAUACACAAUUAUGUGAGAAGAUUGUAUAUUUAGUGCCAUGUUUGUCUUUUUAUUUGGGACUUCAUUGAACAGAGUUGGUGUAAGUGUUCUAAUAUCCCUUUCAUUGUGCUGUAAACAGCUGCUCAUCUUUAGAGUACAGAAAAAGUAGCUUUAAUAAUUGAUGGCAAGUAAACUAAAGUCUCUAGGGUACCCUAUAGUAGAUGGUCUCCAUGUAUCAUACAUAUACAUUUUGUAUUUAUUUUUGUCUUGUGUAAAUGGUGAUGAAAUAAGGGCGAAUGAAAUAUUCUUCAUCUGUUCUCAAUAAAUUGAAACUAUGAC
rnacentral:misc_RNA from 1 species